UGCCGGCAAGUUUCUCUUGGC
rnacentral:miRNA from 1 species